rnacentral:lncRNA from 1 species
ACCAUAUUUGAAAGUUCUUGUUUAUCUUCAACAGAAACCGUAAGAUCUUGAAAGUGAUUCAAAUCUGAAAACUGUUUUUUCUCUUAAAAACUAUGAAAAGUUGACUUCUGUCAACAGAGAAAAGAAUAGUAAAGCUCACUUUAAAAAAGGUUGCUAAACUAGGAAGGUAUGGGUGCUGGGGUGUAAUGGUAAAUUGCCUCUCUUUCCUGUAGACAUGAUUGUUUUUAUCUUCAGGCAGAAAGGACAAAAGUGCCAUUGUUUUCAAAAUACUUUUAGCCUGGUAAAGUGUUACUUGAUGGGUUUUAUAUGUAGCUCAUUCUUAAUCUUCUUUCCUCUUGUUUAACUUCUGUUGGUAUGUAAACAAAAUUUUACUGGUUUUAGAAUGUCCUAUGAAAGAGUUAUAUUAGAAUGUGCAUAAGAAAGAGUUACGUUUGGUAAGAUUUGGCUCUGACAGUAUACCUC